GUUCAGAUUCACUAUUUAGAGUAGGAUACACCUAGAUGAAAUCUAUCAACCUUAAUAGAAAAAGAGAAGUUCUAUGCAAUUCGUAAGACUGAGUUCAAAAAAUCUCUGACUAGAAUAAGUGUGAAUACUAAAAAAGAGUUUUCACGAGAUUCACAAAUGAAUUCAAGUUGAGCCAAUCUAGCAUAUGACUGACAAUGGAAUUUGACAAGUUCUCUAUGACCUCC
rnacentral:lncRNA from 1 species